rnacentral:lncRNA from 1 species
CAAUUAUAAGCAUGCAAUUUAUCAAGUACUUCGAACGAAUUUUGACACUCCAAAAGCAAUUUAUUCCACUAUUUUCAAAUGCCUUAUUUGAACAAUUUUUUAUCAGCUGAGGUUUUGGAUUGUACCAAGUGUACUUGUAAGUAGAAUAAUAGUUUAGUAGGGAAACAAUGGCUUGAAACGAAAUAAAUCUUUGUUUGUAAUGAGUUAUGUGCAGCUUCGGACCCAAGUACAUGGUUGGAACUUUCAUUGUACAAUGCAUUUGGUUCUGCUUUGAAAAGAAUCACAGAGCUGAGUCUAUGUACCAUGUUAUAUAAAAGGUUAAGUGGUUGUUAGGACCUAGUCCUUAAUUGAGAUCCUUGUCAGAUAUUCCUGGC